rnacentral:rRNA from 1 species
GUGAGGAAUUUUCCGCAAUGGGCGAAAGCCUGACGGAGCAAUGCCGCGUGAAGGAUGAAGGCCUAUGGGUUGUAAACUUCUUUUCUCAGAAAAGAAUUAUGACGGUAUCUGAGGAAUAAGCAUCGGCUAACUCUGUGCCAGCAGCCGUGGUAAGACAGAGGAUGCAAGCGUUAUCCGGAAUGAUUGGGCGUAAAGCGUCUGUAGGUUGUUUAAAAAGUAUUCUGUCAAAGAUUAGGGCUUAACCCUAGAUAGGCAGAAUAAACUUUUAAGCUAGAGUUUGGUAGAGGCAGAGGGAAUUCCCGGUGGAGCGGUGAAAUGCGUAGAUAUCGGGAGGAACACCAAAGGCGAAGGCACUCUGCUGGGCCAAUACUAACACUGAGAGACGAAAGCGAGGGGAGCAAAUGGGAUUAGAAACCCGGGUAGUCC